rnacentral:rRNA from 1 species
UAAUACAUGCAAGUCGAACGAGCUUCCGUUGAAUGACGUGCUUGCACUGAUUUCAACAUUGAAGCGAGUGGCGAACUGGUGAGUAACACGUGGGUAACUUGCCCAGAAGCAGGGGAUAACACUUGGAAACAGGUGCUAAUACCGUAUAACAACAGAAACCGCAUGGUUUCUGUUUGAAAGGUGGUUUCGGCUAUCACUUCUGGAUGGACCCGCGGCGUAUUAGUUAGUUGGUGAGGUAAAGGCCCACCAAGACAAUGAUACGUAGCCGACCUGAGAGGGUAAUCGGCCACAUUGGGACUGAGACACGGCCCAAACUCCUACGGGAGGCAGCAGUAGGGAAUCUUCCACAAUGGACGAAAGUCUGAUGGAGCAAUGCCGCGUGAGUGAAGAAGGGUUUCGGCUCGUAAAACUCUGUUGUUAAAGAAGAACACUUCUGAGAGUAACUGUUCAGAAGUUGACGGUAUUUAACCAGAAAGCCACGGCUAACUACGUGCCAGCAGCCGCGGUAAUACGUAGGUGGCAAGCGUUGUCCGGAUUUAUUGGGCGUAAAGCGAGCGCAGGCGGUUUCUUAAGUCUGAUGUGAAAGCCUUCGGCUUAACCGGAGAAGUGCAUCGGAAACUGGGAGACUUGAGUGCAGAAGAGGACAGUGGAACUCCAUGUGUAGCGGUGGAAUGCGUAGAUAUAUGGAAGAACACCAGUGGCGAAGGCGGCUGUCUAGUCUGUAACUGACGCUGAGGCUCGAAAGCAU